rnacentral:lncRNA from 1 species
CACAUGUUGAAAGUCUAGGAAAAGCUCAGGACAGGAACCAUUUCUACUGACUGCUUUUGCUUCACACCCAGUAAAGUCCAGACAGCCUUAAGUUGGGGAUAUCUGUGAGAACACUGUCCCUGAGCAGAGCAGGAUCUGACUGUCCAAAGACUCGGGUCCCAGGUGGGGGGCAGGCAGAUGUUUUGCCCACACUCCCUGUGAUCUGAGAUGCCAAAGUGUACUCGGAAGCCUGGGGAGCCUACCUACCAGGGCUGACAAGUGGGCCGGUCCUGAGAUUGUGCAUCUCCAGCCGACCUAAAGCCUUGAACACAUUCACACACAUCUGUCCAAGCCCAUCUCCCAAGCCUUCCCACACUUACCCACUGGGCUCUGGCCUCAGGCUGCAGAAGCAGGGAUUUCAGGGAACACGGGGGAAGGUCUCAAGACAGGCAUGCCUUGUGGGGUCCUCCCACAGGGGCAGAGUGAGGGACACUGCCACUGUGGGCUGGAUCCUGAGCCCCAGGGCCAGAGUCCUCUCCUGCACAUAGCAGGAGUGGCUAAUGAGCCAAGCCCGUCCUGCAGCUGGCCACCCUUCCCCAGCAUCUGACCCCUUUGUCUUCCUGCCUACUGAUGCAAAAGGUCAAACCUGGGGCUCCAGAGGGGAGAGAGAUCUCAGCAGCCUGGGUGCUGACCCCACACCUCAGUCCAGGCUCAGCAGCAGGAAGCUUGAGAGGCGUGGUACCAGUAAGUGAGAUGUGAGAGAUUAGAGGUCUUGCUGCCUGGUCAGAAGCCGCCUGAAGAUAGAGGACAAGUUCCUGGAAGAAGAAGGAAGUUGCACAGUAAAUAAUGUCAAACGGAGCACUGCCCAGGCCCCAGUUGAUAGGAGCCAGGCGGCCCUGUGGGCAGGGAGCUGGGAGCAGGAGCCAGGCUACACUGUGGGCAGGGAGCUGGGAGCAGGAGCCAGGCUACACUGUGGGCAGGGAGCUAGGUAGCUGGCAUGGAGGGAGGGGCAGGACCUAGAAGGGAGGCUCAGACCUGGAAAGGAACAGGUGGCAGGAAAUCCGCAGAAGUACAGCCUGCUGCCAACUGGGGCUUGAGGCACUUGGGAAGGGGUCGUCCUCACACUCUCUAAAUACGGCUGGCAGGGAUCAGGAAGACUGGCUUCUCUAAAACCCUGCAGGAAAGCCUGAGGCCUCUGCCCUCAAUGCCCAUGCCUACCACACAUCCAGCCGCUCAGAGCGACCCUUAAGUGGGAACUGGGCUGUCUCAAGUACCCCAUACUCCUCCCUGCCCCACCCCAAUCUGAGAUUCCUGGAGGCUGAAUGCCUUCCAACCACACACAGGGGCAAUCGCCCCCUAGGACUCCCCAGGGUGUCCUCUACUCUUCUAACCCUUUGUCUCUGUUGGG